AUUUCUGAAGAAUAGUGGUCAUCACGUGCGCUUCACACGCGCAAGGACCCCAGUUCGAGCCUGGGCGGAAACA
rnacentral:tRNA from 1 species